AAAUAAGAUCUGUGUCUAAUGUUUUCCUUUUUGGUAGCUUACAUCAUGUUACAACAAUUUGUCAAAACUCAGAAUAUACUAGAAUAGUCCCCUAGUUUUAGACACUUAUUAUUGUGUCGUGGUAUUCAUGUCCUCGUCCAACCUUGUAUUUGUUCACAUAUGCAUCCUAUGUCACUCAGAAAUGAAGUCUAUAUCUGCAUC
rnacentral:lncRNA from 1 species